rnacentral:tRNA from 2 species
UGGUCGUUAGCUCAGUUGGUAGAGCAGUUGACUUUUAAUCAAUUGGUCGCAGGUUCGAAUCCUGCACGACCCA